rnacentral:tRNA from 1 species
GGGAUUGUGGCUCAGUGGCAGAGUGCCUGCCUUGCAAGUAUGAGGCACUGGGUUCAAUCCUCAGUACCA